AUCCCGCGCGCCAUUCACUUCACAUUUGUUGCAAUGCAUUAUGGGGUGAGUACAACGACUGGUCUACUAGAUGAAACAUGUGUGAGUAGGAAUUUACAAUUCACUUCCUUUUUACCAUCUGUCAUGGUUACUAGCAGUAUUCAAGCUUGAUAAAAGCCAACGGGUCUUGGCAUAUUUAUAUACUGUGAUAAAAAGAUGAUACAUUAGAAAAAUGUAUACUGGAUCUUCGUGUAUUAUAAAUUUUACGUUGGUUAAACGUAUGUAGAUAGCCUAUUGUUUGAAGUGUGUCCUUAAACUAGGAUAUGUCGCUGAUCAGUUUAUUCAAUUUUAUGUUUUAAUCAUAAUAUGUACCUAGUUUUAGGACGAAAGCAGGCUUACAGUUUCAAUUCAAUAUCGGAAUAUUUUUUUUGCUUGCAAUUUUUCAUUCAUGACAUACAAAAAAAUAAUUACAUGUGAAUCUUACUACCAUAUUUUAAAAUAAAGAUACUA